GACGAACGCUGGCGGCGUGCUUAACACAUGCAAGUCGAACGCUGAAGCUUGGUGCUUGCACUGGGUGGAUGAGUGGCGAACGGGUGAGUAAUACGUGAGUAACCUGCCCUUGACUCUGGGAUAAGCCUGGGAAACGGGGUCUAAUACUGGAUACGACAUGUCACCGCAUGGUGGUGUGUGGAAAGGGGUUUACUGGUUUUGGAUGGGCUCACGGCCGAUCAGCUUGUUGGUGGGGUAAUGGCCCACCAAGGCGACGACGGGUAGCCGGCCGGAGAGGGUGACCGGCCACACUGGUACUGAGACACGGCCCAGACUCCUACGGGAGGCAGCAGUGGGGAAUCUUGCACAAUGGGCGGACGCCUGAUGCAGCGACGCCGCGUGCGGGAUGCCGGCCUUCGGGUUGUAAACCUCUUUCAGCACGGAAGAAGCGAAAGUGACGGUACGUGCAGAAGAAGCGCCGGCUAACUACGUG
rnacentral:rRNA from 1 species